AACCUUAUGGACCUGCGGGCGUAUACCUGCGGAGGGAUCAUUACCUAGAGUUGUAGGCUUUGCCUGCUAUCUCUUACCCAUGUCUUUUGAGUACCUUACGUUUCCUCGGUGGGUUCGCCCGCCGGUUGGACAAAACUUAAACCCUUUGUAGUUGCAAUCAGCGUCUGAAAAAACUUAAUAGUUACAACUUUUAGCAACGGAUCU
rnacentral:misc_RNA from 1 species